rnacentral:rRNA from 1 species
UACAGAGGGUGCGAGCGUUAAUCGGAAUUACUGGGCGUAAAGCGUGCGUAGACGGUUAUUUAAGUCGGAUGUGAAAGCCCCGGGCUCAACCUGGGAAUUGCAUUCGAGACUGAAUAGCUAGGGUACGGUAGAGGGAAGCGGAAUUUCCGGUGUAGCGGUGAAAUGCGUAGAUAUCGGAAGGAACAUCAGUGGCGAAAGCGGCUUCCUGGACCAAUACUGACGAUCAGGUGCGAAAGCGUGGGGAGCAAACAGG